GUUAAAGAAGGAUUUAUAAGCUUUUAGACAUGGAGGUGUGUGGCUUUAAGAGACGUUGAACAGGGUACGGUAGUAAGUGGUAGUAGGUGGUAGUAGGUGCCAGGCGUACCGGUUUGAACUGGGUUUGGUAGUAGGUGGUAGUAGGUGCCAGGCGUACCGGUUUGAACUGGGUUUGGUAGUAGGUGCCAGGCGCACCGGUUUGAACUGGGUUUGGUAGUAGGUGGUAGUAGGUGGUAGUAGGUGCCAGGCACACCGGUUUGAACUGGGUUUGGUAGUAGGUGGUAGUAGGUGCCAGGCGCACCGGUUUGAACUGGGUUUGGUAGUAGGUGGUAGUAGGUGGUAGUAGGUGCCAG